rnacentral:rRNA from 1 species
CCUCGGGUGGCUGCAGUGGGGAAUAUUGGACAAUGGGCGCAAGCCUGAUCCAGCCAUGCCGCGUGAGUGAUGAAGGCCCUAGGGUUGUAAAGCUCUUUCGCCAGGGACGAUAAUGACGGUACCUGGAUAAGAAGCCCCGGCUAACUUCGUGCCAGCAGCCGCGGUAAUACGAAGGGGGCUAGCGUUGUUCGGAAUCACUGGGCGGAAAGCGCACGUAGGCGGAUCUUUAAGUCAGGGGUGAAAUCCCGAGGCUCAACCUCGGAACUGCCUUUGAUACUGGAGGUCUCGAGUCCGGGAGAGGUGAGUGGAACUGCGAGUGUAGAGGUGAAAUUCGUAGAUAUUCGCAAGAACACCAGUGGCGAAGGCGGCUCACUGGCCCGGAACUGACGCUGAGGUGCGAAAGCGUGGGGAGCAAACAGGAUUAGAUACCCGGGUAGUC